rnacentral:rRNA from 1 species
ACGCUCGACACCUACGGGAGCAGCAGUGGGGAAUAUUGCACAAUGGGGGAAACCCUGAUGCAGCAACGCCGCGUGAGUGAAGAAGUAUUUCGGUAUGUAAAGCUCUAUCAGCAGGGAAGAUAAUGACGGUACCUGACUAAGAAGCUCCGGCUAAAUACGUGCAGCAGCCGCGGUAAUCUGAGCGGGCUGGCAAGGC